GAAUGUUAUGCAGGGCUCGCUGCUAAACCAGUGAGCAGUGUAGCUCAGGAUUCAGUCAUUAGACCUCUUACAACCUCAUCUUUGUUUUACAAAAAGCAUUCUUUCAGUCUGAAAACUGAAAUAUUCAGACUGUAUGUUUUAUGUUAAUUCUUAAGGUGGUUUUAUAGGUUAGAGCAGCGGUCCCCAACCUUUUUUGCGCCACGGACCGGUUUAUGCCCGACAAUAUUUUCACGGACCGGCCUUUAAGGUGUCGCGGAUAAAUACAACAAAAUAAAACUAGUACCGGUACCGAAAAAAAGAAGAUUUAUUCAUAACACACGUGAAAAGACCCAGGAAAACCGAGUUAACGAUAAAAACGAUAACAAAAUAACGCUGAAAACCGAUAAAAACCCUGAAAAACAUACAUUUCACACCUGAGCCUCAACUCUCGCGGCCCGGUACCAAACGACUCACGGACCGGUACCGGUCUGAGGCCCGGGGGUUGGGGACCGCUGGGUUAGAGGGCAUUUGAGUGGCGGGUUGUUUCAGGACUAUACAGUAUCUCUUUUGAGGAGAGAAUUUACCUCUUAUUGUUUUGUAAAAAAACAACUUUAUUAUAUCUUUUAUCUGAAUGUUUUUUAUUUAUCCAAAGUUUUAUUAUGCAGAAUAAUCUUAUUAUUUAUGAAUUGGGGGGGGUUCUUAACUUGCUUGCUUUUCAUUAAAAGAGCUGGAAACCUCGUGAUGAACGAGAUGCACAGGUGUCACUGUAGACGUUAAAUUCAUGUCAAACAUGCCAAAAAUUCCACAUUCAAUCAAAGAAGUAAUAUUUAACAAAACAGAGCAAUCAGUGAGACAAAAACAUUGCCUUCAGUCAACAACUGUUUUUAUUCUGAGCUAUGUGUUUGUUUCUUUCUAACAAACGGCUGCUGAAUGUUACUGUACUGUAAUGGCAUUUUAUUUAUGUAUGUGUGUGUAUAUCUAUAUAUAUAUAUAUAUAUAUAUAUAUAUAUGCAUGAGACAAACGUGACAUAUCAGAAGGAUUUCAUUCCAAAACGCAACCUGUUUUUAACAAUGUGGGGCAGCUGGACGGGUGAGUGGUUAGGACACGUGCACUACAUGGAUAAAAGUAGUGGAGCAGCCAUGGAAACCAAAGCCAUGUUUGGAGUUUGACCUUCUGUCAUUCUCAAACACUUCCUCCACUUACAGCUGAUUGUGGGAUAUCUAUGAUAGAAGAAAUGUCACAAACUGCGGCUGUGGCGUCCUGUUACUGCACCAAGCUCAAUUUCAGUGAGCUCUCUCCAACAGCACGUUCUUUCGGAAAUCUUUGUAAAGACAGACGGCAUGGCUAGCUGCUUUAAUUCAACAGUACAGACUUACUCCCAAUACUUUUGUCCAUGUAGUGUAACCUUAAAUCCUUCCACAGCUGCAUGCUGUAAUUUCCCAGCUCCCUCUCUUAUAUUUCCUGUCUAUCUCUGGAAAAAAGGCAGAAAAUGUUUAAUAAAAGAUCAACAAUUAUACUAAAAUGCCCUGAAAUACUGCAGAACUGAAACUGUAAGCUGGAUGUCUCAUUUUGGAAUGAAUAUACUGUUCUACUUGAAUAUCAGCUCUAAGAUGUACGUUAUUUCCUCGAAGUAUUGUAGCUUAAAAGAAUCUCUGUUCUGAAAAAAUUAAAAAUAUUUGACCUGCAGCACAAUUUUCAAACACUGUAAGUUAUGUGUGGUUGUUGAGUCACUGCGGUGUCUGAGCAGUCAGGUGGUUUGGCUGCACCAUCCUGAGGAAGAUGAGCGGCGCUUUGGGUGCAGGAUGAAGUGGAGGGAGGCUCAUCUGUCUGUUUACCCUGCAGGCACCAGGUGAUCUGUCUUUUCCAGCUCGG
ensembl:lncRNA